rnacentral:rRNA from 1 species
GGUUGGGGGAGUAGUGGCUCACCAAGGCGACGACGGGUAGCCGGCCUGAGAGGGCGACCGGCCACACUGGGACUGAGACACGGCCCAGACUCCUACGGGAGGCAGCAGUGGGGAAUAUUGCACAAUGGGCGAAAGCCUGAUGCAGCGACGCCGCGUGAGGGAUGACGGCCUUCGGGUUGUAAACCUCUUUCAGCAGGGAAGAAGCGAAAGUGACGGUACCUGCAGAAGAAGCGCCGGCUAACUACGUGCCAGCAGCCGCGGUAAUACGUAGGGCGCAAGCGUUGUCCGGAAUUAUUGGGCGUAAAGAGCUCGUAGGCGGCUUGUCACGUCGGUUGUGAAAGCCCGGGGCUUAACCCCGGGUCUGCAGUCGAUACGGGCAGGCUAGAGUUCGGUAGGGGAGAUCGGAAUUCCUGGUGUAGCGGUGAAAUGCGCAGAUAUCAGGAGGAACACCGGUGGCGAAAGGCGGAUCUCUGGGCCGAUACUGACGCUGAGGGAGCGAAAGC